UUAAGUCCCGCAACGAGCGCAACCCUUGUCCUUAGUAGCCAGCCUUAAGUUGGGCACUGUAAGGAGACUGCCGGUGACAAACCGGAGGAAGGUGGGGACGACGUCAAGUCAUCAUGGCCCUUACGUGUAGGGCUACACACGUGCUACAAUGGCAUUUACAGAGGGAAGCGAGACAGUGAUGUGGAGCGGACCCCUUAAAGAAUGUCGUAGUCCGGAUUGGAGUCUGCAACUCGACUCCAUGAAGUCGGAAUCGAUAGUAAUCGCAGGUCAGAAUACUGCGGUGAAUAUGUUCCCGGGCCUUGUACACACCGCCCGUCACACCAUGGGAGUGGGAUGCAAAAGAAGUAGUUAGUCUAACCUUCGGGAGGACGAUUACCACUUUGUGUUUCAUGACUGGGGUGAAGUCGUAACAAGGUAACC
rnacentral:rRNA from 1 species